GACGAACGCUGGCGGCGUGCUUAACACAUGCAAGUCGAACGGAAAGGCCCUGCUUUUGUGGGGUGCUCGAGUGGCGAACGGGUGAGUAACACGUGAGUAACCUGCCCUUGACUUUGGGAUAACUUCAGGAAACUGGGGCUAAUACCGGAUAGGAGCUCCUGCUGCAUGGUGGGGGUUGGAAAGUUUCGGCGGUUGGGGAUGGACUCGCGGCUUAUCAGCUUGUUGGUGGGGUAGUGGCUUACCAAGGCUUUGGCGGGUAGCCGGCCUGAGAGGGUGACCGGCCACAUUGGGACUGAGAUACGGCCCAGACUCCUACGGGAGGCAGCAGUGGGGAAUAUUGCACAAUGGGCGGAAGCCUGAUGCAGCAACGCCGCGUGCGGGAUGACGGCCUUCGGGUUGUAAACCGCUUUCGCCUGUGACGAAGCGUGAGUGGCGGUAAUGGGUAAAGAAGCACCGGCUAACUACGUG
rnacentral:rRNA from 1 species